rnacentral:lncRNA from 1 species
UGCCAACGUAAUUAGGCAAGCAGCGUUUGGCGGGGGCAGCAUGCCGCGCGCCAGCGCUCUCUUGCUGUCGCUAGCGGCGCUCAUGCUCGCGGAGCAGUGUGUCUACGCCUCGUACAUCGACCCUGGUGACGAGGAUAUCGAAAUAACCGGCCCUGAUUACGACGAAGACCCAUCCGAUCUACAACUUCUGCAUGAUGUUGGCAAACGUUCGUCGCUGAU